GACGAACGCUGGCGGCGUGCUUAACACAUGCAAGUCGAACGGUGAAGCGCCUUCCUUUUUGGUGGGUGUGGAUGAGUGGCGAACGGGUGAGUAACACGUGAGUAACCUGCCCCCUUCUUCUGGAUAACCGCAUGAAAGUGUGGCUAAUACGGGAUAUUCUGGGUCUGUCGCAUGAUGGGUCUGGGAAAGAUAUUGUUUCGGUGGGGGAUGGGCUCGCGGCCUAUCAGCUUGUUGGUGGGGUGAUGGCCUACCAAGGCGGUGACGGGUAGCCGGCCUGAGAGGGUGGACGGUCACACUGGGACUGAGACACGGCCCAGACUCCUACGGGAGGCAGCAGUGGGGAAUAUUGCACAAUGGGCGCAAGCCUGCUGCAGCGACGCCGCGUGAGGGAUGGAGGCCUUCGGGUUGUGAACCUCUUUCGCCAGUGAAGCAGGCCUGCCUCGUUUGUGGGUGGGUUGACGGUAGCUGGAUAAGAAGCGCCGGCUAACUACGUG
rnacentral:rRNA from 1 species